UCAAACUUGGUCAUUUAGAGGAAGUAAAAGUCGUAACAAGGUUUCCGUAGGUGAACCUGCGGAAGGAUCAUUAAACAGCGGGUGAUGCCCCACUAGGUAGCCGUGCUACCCUUAGGUUAGUUGCGUGAAUUGCGCCAGAGCCAGCAUUGUAAGCUCCCUUAUAAAAGAAAAUAAGGUGGGAACCGAACGAAGAGUUCCAGUACAUAUGGAGUUACAGUUCAGGACUAUCUCCAUAGUGCUAUCAAUGGCUGAGGUCGUGCUGACUCCCUAAGGAUAGGCGUUUUUACCAUGUGGUUGUUAAAGCUCCUCGCUCUACAUCUUUGUUUAUUUGUGCUUUUAUUAUUUCCCUCGGUGACGAUGCUUGCCGAAGGACAAUCAUAUCUACCCUAUUGUAGUGGCAUUUUAUUUCUUCUGAUCGGAAAGUCUAAAAUCUUUACAACUUUCAACAAUGGAUCUCUUGGUUCUGGCAUCGAUGAAGAACGCAGC
rnacentral:misc_RNA from 1 species